rnacentral:rRNA from 1 species
AGAGAUGUGUGAUGACGCAUAUCAAUAAGCGGAGGAAAAGGAGUCAUACCUACGCUUAGGAUGUCGACACACGCGCGUGCUCGGCUCUAUACAUGACUCUGUGCAUAUCAAUAAGCGGAGGAAAAGGAACUAACAAGGAUUCCCUAGUAACGGCGAGUGAAGCGGGAAGAGCUCAAAUUUGAAAUCUUAAAGGGUUUCCCUUGACGAAUUGUAGUUUAUAGAAGUGUUUUCUGUUAGGAGUUCGGUAAAAGUUCUUUGGAAUAGGACAUCAUAGAGGGUGAGAAUCCCGUAUUUGACCAUUACUUCCAACUUUGUGAUACACUUUCAAAGAGUCGGAUUGUUUGGGAAUGCAGUCCAAAAUGGGUGGUAAAUUUCAUCUAAAGCUAAAUAUUGGCGAGAGACCGAUAGCGAACAAGUACCGUGAGGGAAAGAUGAAAAGAACUUUGAAAGAGAGUUAAACAGUACGUGAAAUUGUCAAAAGGGAAGCGUUUGACACCAGUGUUGUUUUCUCGAAAAUCAAUUAAAAAUGUAUGGGAUGUUGUAUUGUUAUGACCUUAUCAGCUUACUGUACUUUUUUCUUAUUCUUUUUAAUGCACUUUUCGUUUAACAAGUCAACAUCAAUUUCUUUUGUUGUAAAAGAGUCAUUGGAAGGUGGCUUUCACUUCGGUGAAAGUGUUUAUAGCCUUUGGCUUCUGCAAUCGGAGAGAUUGAGGUCUGCAGCGUAGAUCCUUCGGGGUUAGAUACGUAGAUGCUAAGUUAUAGUUUUUCAUAGACAACUUGUUGACUAUGAUUAAUCAUGUAGCUUACUCGCUUAUGCUAUUUUACCUACGCUUAGGAUGUUGAGUCGUAGAGCACGCAG